rnacentral:rRNA from 1 species
GUGGGGAAUCUUGCGCAAUGGGCGAAAGCCUGACGCAGCCAUGCCGCGUGGAUGAUGAAGGUCUUAGGAUUGUAAAAUCCUUUCACCGGUGAAGAUAAUGACUGUAGCCGGAGAAGAAGCCACGGCUAACUUCGUGCCAGCAGCCGCGGUAAUACGAAGGGGGCUAGCGUUGCGCGGAAUUGCUGGGCGUAGAGUGAGCGUAGGCGGACAUUUAUGUCAGGGGUGAAUUCCCGAGGCUCAACCUCGGAACUGCCUUCGAUACUGGGUGUCUUGAGUGUGAGAGAGGUGAGUGGAACUCCGAGUGUAGAGGUGAAAUUCGUAGAUAUUCGGAAGAACACCAGUGGCGAAGGCGACUCACUGGCUCAUUACUGACGCUGAGGCUCGAAAGCGUGGGGAGCAAACAGGAUUAGAAACCCUUGUAGUCC